AGCACCAGACCUGGGCAUAGAGAGUAUUAUUCUAUAUAGAAAAUAUUAUAGUUAUAGUUUUGUGUUGUAAUCACCAUCAUUAUUAUUGUAUAUUGCUCAAAACAUAUAAAUAGAAAAAGUUGGCUAACCGCUUAUCUUGCAACUCUGACCGACUCUGCACCCUAUCUUGAUAAUGAUAACUUAUAUGUUGGUGACGGUAAGGAUCUUUUUAUAUCCCAUAUUGGGCAUACCAUGUUAUGUUCCCAUAAACGCACCUUUACAUUAUCUAACGUUCUCCAUAUUCCUCAUAUCACCAAACCAUUGCUCUCUGUUCAAAAAUUUUAUCGUGAUAAUAAUGUUUAUUUUGAAUUUCAUGCCUCUAUGUUUUAUGUAAAGGAUCUCACCACCAAUGCAGUGCUCUUUUCUGGUUAGAGCAAUGAUGAUCUAUAUGUUCUCUCUAAGUCUUCUGCCACCACUAUUCCUCAAGCUUAUUGGUCUUGUGUCUCUGUAACUGCUGAUCUAUAGCAACGUCAAUUAGAUCAUCCUACUUCCCGUAUUUUUAAUUUGUUAGUUUCCAAAAAUAAAAUAAUGUGUACUUCUAGAUGCUCUCUUGCUCAAUGUCAAGCUUGUCCACUUGACAAGCCUUCAUGUCUGUCAUUGCGACCUACAUGUUACAAAACUAUUGCCCCACUUGAUUUAAUAUUUAGUGAUGUUUGAGGCCCUGCUCCUAUGUUUUCCUCUGAUGAUUUCGUUACUUUGUUAUCUUUAUCGAUGCGCAUAUAAAGUAUAUAUGGUAUUAUCCUCUUGUUGUAAAAUCCGAUGUGUUUUCUAUAUUCCAAUGUUUUCAAAUGCUUGUUAAGUGUCAAUUUACCCGCAAAAUUAAAUCUAUUCAAACUGAUUGGGGUGGUGAAUAUCGUGAGUUAAACAAUUUCUUUCAAACUAUUGGUAUUCAUAACAUGUUAAUCUGUCCUCAUAUGCAUGAGCAAAAUGGUAGUGUUGAACGCCAUAUUGUCAAAAACUAGUCUUACCCUAUUAGGCCAACGUAGUGCUCUGUUAUGAUUUUGGAAUUAUGCAUUUGAAUCAUCAGUAUAUCUCAUCAAUCAUAUGCUUACUCUUGUCCUUCAAAAUCAGUCUCCUUUUGAAUGUUUGUUUAAUCAUACUCUUGAUUAUGAUUUUCUACGUACUUUUAGGUGUUUUGAUUUUUCUUUUUUGCAUCCAUUUCAUGCUCAUAAGUUGGAUUUAUGUUCAUCUCCAUAUGUGUUCUUAGGAUAUAGUUCCUCUCAUCUUGGUUAUCAUUGUCUCAAUUUAGCAUCUCAACAUAUAUGUCUCCCAUCAUGUUCAUUUUCAUGAAGGUGUGUUUCCUUUUGUAAAAUUUGAACAGAUAGGCCAACAACCGGCCACUCCUUCCCAAUCCACACACUUUCCCACCUUGAUUACCUCCCUAAAUUCUCCUUGAUGACCCGCCAAACACCACACCUAGUAGAUAUCUGGAGUAUGCUGGAAACAACUCUUGCCUCUCCUUCCAAUUCACGAAUUAUGCAACUUCACAGCUCAUUCCAAGAUUUACGCCAAAAUGAUGAUUAUGCCAGCAUCUACUUGCAUAAGGCAAAUGCCUUGUUUGAUGAACCUGCUGCGGGUAGCAGACUGAUCUCCUUGGCAGAAUUCAACUUGUAUGUGUUUCGAGGGUUAUGCAGCGACUUUAAGGAUCUUGUAACCAGCUUACCAACCAGGGAUGAUCCCAUCUCCUACACUGAUCUUCAUAACAGUUGUUGUAACUCAUUUUUGGGCCCCCGGCACAAAAAGAAGAAAAUACAAAAAAAAAAUAUAUAUAAAAAAUAAUAGCAAUAAAAAGAGGAUGCCAGAAUGCUUAGAAAAUGGUCAAAAAUUGGUUGAGGAGGUUCAAAAAUACAAAGAUUGAAAUUUGACGGUAUAUAGUUGACCGAUGAGAGCCUUGUUGAUGAUGAAAAUUUGAUUUGAGGAAGAAAAGUCCAAAAUCAAAUGUUUAUAGACUUAAUUAAAUUUUAUUGAAGGUUGAAUUGGAUUUAUGAAGGGUUUGAUUGCAAGAAAAAGUGAUUUUUAAGUCAAUAUAGGCUUUAAUUAGAAGAAAUUAAAGUUCUGGGGUUAAAUUAUAAUUUUUUAGAGUUGAUUUAGUCAAAUCAGGGGCUUAAUUACAUAAAUAUUGAAGUCUGAUGGGCAAUUAGAGAAUCGAUUGAAGAAAUCCAAAACCAAGGACCAAAAUGGAAAAAAAACACAAAUUGAAGGAUUGAAUCAGAAUUGACACAUUUUGGCACCAUUUCAAAUGGCGCGUUUUGGGUGAAACGGCGCAGUUUAAAAAAAAAAGGGAAUAAGCAAAUGGUGCCGAUUUGAACGGCACCAUAAGCCUUCUUCUUCCCCUGUACACGCAGAGAACAGGGGAAGAAGAAGCAUUUUUCCUCCCAUUUUUUUCAACGCCACUUUCUCUCUCUCCACCCCACUUGCCCAAGGCACUACCCAUACCCACCAUACCCUGCUAACAUGAAAAAAGAGACGGAACAAUGCCUUGGGGUGGCUGUGCAGAAGCCGCCCCAUGCCACCUUACCCUGCGCGGACAGGGUAGGGUGGCCCUCCCCCCCCAAUUCCUAUAAAUACAGGGGGAGAACCAGGGAAGAAAAAAAGACAUGAAAACACAGAGAAGGAAAAAAAAACAAGAGAAAAAAUAGAGAAGAGAAAACAAGGAACGACCGAGAGAAAAAAAAAGGGAAAGAAAAAGGAGGAGGAAGGUGAGACAGAGAAGAAAAACCGAACAGAACAGACGAGGGGAGAAGAAAAAACAAUAGAGACAGAAACGGAGAGGGGGGGACAGAGGGAGUUUUUUAUAAGAGAGAAGUCGAAACAGAGGGAAAGAAGGGAAAGAAGGGAAAGAAACAGUGGAGAAAACAAAAGAGGGCCGGGUGUUUUUAGUAGUUGAAAACAGAGAAAAAACUAGGGGGGAAAAGGGAUUUUAAAGAAGAGAAGAGAAAGAGAUCGAGAGCAGAGUGAAAGAAUAAUUUUUUUUUUUAAAAAACAAAACAGAGGAGAAGGAGGACUAACAGAACGAAGGAGAAAGAAAGAAAAAGAACUAAAGAGAGUUUAGAAUAGGCCAGAAGGAGAGACAGACGCAGGGAAGGAAAAAAAAACAGAAAGAGCAAAUCGACGAGAGGGAGAGAAGACACAGACAUCGGUGCCUCUGCACCGCGGAGAAGAAGCACAACCGCUAUCAUCGGGCUUCCCAGUCACUGCCACUGCCACCUUCAACCACCACUGCCGACUACAACCGUGCUUCCCCACUCCGGGUAACCUUCUCCCCUCCCCUGCCGCUUUUUAUGUGUUCACCUUCAUUUGCAUGCAGAACGUGAGCAAUUCAUGUUCUGCAGCAAAUGAAAUUUAAUUAUGAAGUUAUUGUCUACCUAAUUAUAAUUAGCUAGUUACUGUGCAGCACAAUAAUUAGCUAAUUAUAUUUAGCUUUUGUUCUAUCGGGCUGGAACAUCAGCCCAGCCCACGCGGCUGGGCUGAGUCCAGCUUUGUAGCUGAUAGGCCCAAAUUUCCUUUUUUGGGCCAGGUCUGGCCCAGCCCAAAAUGAGUGGGCUGCUCUGUCAAAAAAAUAUAUUAAAAAAUCAUUUUGAAAAAUUUGUGAUUUUCCCGCGUAUUUUUCUAUGCCAUUUUGAUUAAUAUCGAUCUGUAUUUUUAUUUCAUAAAGAUACAAAUCCGGUAUUAAAAUAUCAAAUUUUCAAAAAAAUAUCUUUGUUUUCAUGUAUACGGCCAAGUCUCUCAAAGCUAAAAAAAUCAUGUUGUAUUUUCAUACAACAAAGAAAACUUCAAAAAAUAUAUUUUAGCAUGCCUUUUGGCUUAAAGUCACGAGAACUUGGCCAACAUUUCAAAAAAAAUAAAAAAAAAAUAUUUUGUUUUGUUUUAAUGUCUGGGAUUAUGAAUUUAUACGUAAAUUAUAUUUUUGAUAUUAAAAUGAUAGUUCUUUUAUAGACAUUAGAACGGUUAGGCUUUACUCGAUAAGAUAAAGACCUCCUCACCAAAAAGGACUUUUCUUAAACCGAAAACAAACCAACGAUUAGAAAUACAAUAAAACUAUAACAUAUGUUAGAUAAUAAAACAAUGCAGCUUACUUUAGGUACGACAUAUUUGGAGUGCUAAUACUUUCCCUUUACGCAACCAGUCCCCGUACUCGAUCUCUAAGACCAGUUAGGGUUUCUAGUGGCCAAAAUACUAGGUGGCGACUCCCAUCCCCCUUUUCCACUUAUACUAUACAAGAAUUCCUUGUCUCCGCACAUUUGCCAGAAUAGAUAGACUUAUACAUUCAACCUUGAGAGAGUGGAUGAUAACCGCAACGCCGCACCACAUACGACAACAGUCUUUUUACACAUGAAGUUCUCCACAAAGCUGCUCUCCAACCUGUCGUAACAACUCCUUUAUUACGAACUCCAACAUAGCAGCCAGUUGCGCUCUUUGUGCAACAUCACUCUAGCUUCAAUACUAGCAGACGAGGUCAUUUUCGUGGGGGCUGGAGACACAACAAUUCUUAUCAUGGCAAUGAUGGCAAUGACUCAGCCCAUAAUUUCAGCACUCACGGUUAUACUUCAGGUCAGCAAUUUAGACAACAUGGAAACUGGCUCUCCUCUGGUUCUCCUUCUUAGACAACAAGAAGUUUUAGGCAACAAGGUAAUCGUUUUGGUGGGUCUAGUCACAAUAUAAAGUGUCAAUUCUGUUAUGAAUAUGGGCAUACUGUCCAACAGUGUUCUUAAUUGGCCACUCAUCCUCUCCAAGCCAAUGCCAAUCUCACAUUUAAUAAUGCCCUCACAACUACUCUUCUUACUUGGUUUCUUGAUACAAGUGCAAAUCAUCAUAUAACGCCGAAUCUUACUAGUAUGACUAGUUCAAAACCUUAUCUUAGUAAUGAUCAUUUGCAUGUUCGUGAUGGUAAGGGCCUUGUUAUUUCGAAUAUUGCUCACUCUAAAAUUCAUUCACCCAACUGCACAUUUACUUUAUCCAAUAUUUUACAUGUUCCUAACAUUAAAAAACCUCUGCUAUCUGUUCAAAAGUUUUAUCUUGAGAAUAACAUCUUCUUUGAAAUUCAUUCCUUUCUUUUUUAUGUUAAGGACCUCAUGACAAAGGAAGUGCUUCUUUCUGGUCAUAGGAAAGAUGGUCUAUAUGUUUUGUCUGAAUUGUCUACAACAUCCUUGCCUUAAAUUUCUCAUCUAUAUGUCUCUCUACUUCCGUUGAUGUCUGACAUCAUCAUCUUAGGCAUCCCAAUCCAUGCAUUCUGUAUUUUUUUGUGAAAAAUAAAAAAGGUGUCAUGUACAUCAAAUUAAUUUAAUUUUAAUUUUCCUGCAUGCCCUCUAGGCAAGUCGUCUCGUCUGACUCUAAGAACUACGAGUCAUCAAACUUGAGCUCCUUUUGAAUUGAUUUUUAGUGAUGUUUGGGGUCCCUCUCCUAUGUUGUCACACUAAUGGUUUUUGCUAUUUUGUUAUCUUUGUGGAUGCUCAUAUGAAGUUUAUCUAGUUUUAUCCGUUGGUUGCUAAGUCUGAUGUUUUUAAUAUUUUUCAUCAGUUUCAGGCGCUCGUUGAGCGCCAAUUUUCUUUAAAAAUUAAAACUAAUCAAAUAGAUUAGGGUGGUGAAUAUCAAAAACUCAAUACAUAUUUUAAAACAAUUGGUAUUCAUCAUUAUGUGAUUUGCUCGCACACUCAUGAACAAAAUGGCAUGGUUGAACGUCGUCAUAAAUAUAUUGUUGAAACUAGGCUUACUCUUUUUGGGCAAUGUCACGCUCCCCUUAAAUAUUAGAGUUAUGCUUUUGAAAGUUCUGUUUAUUUGAUUAAUCGCAUGCCAACUCCGGUUCUUAAUCAUAAGAUUCCUUUUGAAUUAUUUUAAAAUCGUCUCCUGAUUAUGCUUUUCUUCGUACUUUUAGGUGUCUUUGCUUCCCAUUCCUUCGUCCAUACAAUGCCCAUAAGUUAGAUUUUUUUUCAUCCGCUUGUGUUUUUCUAGGAUAUAGUAACUCUCAUGUAGGUUAUCGGUGUCUUGAUUUGUCAUCCAAACGUAUUUAUCUUGCUUGUCAUGUCCGGUUUCAUGAAAAUAUUUUUCCUCUUGAUAAGUCUGAACAGAUUGGAGUUCCAUUAUACCCUUCUGCUACCACUAUACCCUUCACUUUACUCCAUCCCCCGCCACCCUCUCCACCCCCUACACCUCCUUUGGCUCCCUUACCAUUAUCUACAUGUUAUUAUCAUGAUCACUCUUCAGGUACAAGCUUAGAUUCGCCACACUCGCAUGCAUCGUCCAUCACCCCUGCUAGCUCUACUAUUUUUCCCCUAUUGGUUCCCCUGUUGUCAUUGUUGCCCUUGCAGUUUCUUCAGCUGGCUCUUCCUCAUGGCCUGCACAUAUAUUAAGCCUUUCACCACCAGGUUCUUACUAUGAUUCCCCUCAAGGAAUUAACUGAUUUGUUGAUCUGUCAAAAUUUCAUCUUCAGCAAGUCCCGACCAGUGUCUCCUCCACUCCACCUUAGCUGGCUCGUACCCAUCAUAUGGUCCUUCACCCACGUCCAACCAAAGAUGCUAACUUCAGUAUUGCGAUUGCCUCACGGGUUGUAUUGUUACCUCAACAGGAGCCGCUAUCAUUUAAGGAUGCCAACAGGUAUUUGGUUUGGCAUAACGCCAUGCAGGAGGAAAUCUGGGCACUUCACUCAAAUCAAACUUGGUUGUUGGUGCCCUCUCAUCCAUCUAUGAAUGUUAUUGGUUGUAGGUGGGUGUACAAGAUUAAACGACAGGCUGAUUGUCAGAUUGACCAAUAUAAAGCAUGGUUGGUUGCCCACGGCUUCACUCAGCAAGAGGGGAUUGAUUAUUUGGAGACGUUUAGUCCGGUGGUUAAGCUUAUAACGGUUCACCUUGUGCUCAUUAUUGUUGUCUCAUAUGGUUGGAACAUUCACCAGUUGGAUGUUCAUAAUGCUUUCUUGAAUGAUAUUCUUCAGGAUGAGGUAUACAUGGCACAACCACUUUCAUCUUAUGUGUGUCGGUUUCAUAAAUCUUUGUAUGGCUUGAAACAAGCACCUCGAGCUUGAUAUAACCGGUUGAGCAAGUUUUUAAUUUCCAUUGGAUUUCAGGCAUCUAAGGUUGACACUUCUCUGUUUACUCUCUCCCUCGAUGGUGCCAUGAUUUAUUUGCUUGUGUAUGUUGAUGAUAUUUUACUGACCGGGAGUAACUCAGCUUUGCUUCAUAGACUGAUUACUUUGCUGCAAAUAGAAUUUAAGUUUCGAGAUUUGGAUUUUGUUCAUUUCUUCUUGGACAUUGAAGUUAAACUUGCUACUAUGGGUAUCUUAUUAAGUCGACACAAGUAUGCGCUCGAUAUUAUCCAACGAGCAGGUAUGACUUCUUGCAAAUAAAUUGAUACUCCUUUAUCUACCUCCUCUAAAUUAGGAAUUGUGCAUGGUACUCUUCACACUAAUCCGACUGUACCGGCAAAUUCUUGGGGCACAUAAAUCUAUCUCAUUAGCAGCUCUUUUGAGAUGAUAAAUUAUUUUAUAAAAAUUUGAGAAAUAUACAUGCCAAAAUGACUAGUCCUACCAAAUACUUGAUGAACCUCUAAAAAGGAAUUCCAUCGAGCAUCUAACACCCUUUAUUAACCUCUGCACUGAUGUCAUGUUUACCAGUAUCUUGUUUAGAAUUUCAUCGACUUUGAAAAUUGGACCCUAUUUGAUGUCAUGUUUAACGUUCGGAAACGUCUUCAAGGGGUUUUCAGUUAUGAAAAUGGAAACUCAUGAACAUUAAUUUUCUUGAACAGUUAAGAUAAUGGAGAGGAAUAAGUUUGUAUGAAUAAUUACAGGUGCUUAUUAUUAUUGUUUUUUUUUUUGAAAUAGGGUGCUUAUUAUUGUUGUAGCUAUUCUUUUGAAUUUAUAUAUUUAAAGUUGUGUAUAAUAAUAAUAAUAAUAAUAAUAAUAAUAAUAGUAUAAUGCACUAUAUAUGAUAACAACAUUAUAUAAGGCAUAUACAUGUAUAAGUUAGUUGUCAUAGCAGAUACAUUUUUUACAAUUCGUACUCUCAAGUUAAAGUUAAAAAUAUCAAUGAAGCAUGAGUUUAUGAAUUAACUUAUUUUUUUUUAUCAAAUGUAAAAAAUUCUAUAGAUAAAAAGUAAAACAAAAUUGGAAACUAGCAAAUCAGAAUUUAUAGGCAUGUACAUAUAAGGAAACAAAGCAAAUACAAGAAGACAGGCUCCUUUGAACAAACAAAUACAACCAAAAAGGGAAAAAGCGCCCUGAACAAAAGAUGUCAAGACCAGCAAGCUUAAUAAAAUCAGCAAACAGACGCCAAAAAGCAGAGGAUAUGUGGCAUCGCAGCAGAAGACAUAUCUUGCAACAGAGGCGCAAAACCGUCACCACUCAUUAAACCUCAAACAAACAGUCAGAACAACAGCUGGACAAGGGCAGUACACCAGCCAACACAUAGAGCAACUAAACCAAGGCAGAAGCCCUGCAGGAGCAGCCUCAACACAUUCUGCACACAGAAGUCAUGUGCAGAUAACAUAAGGAAUGCACAGCACCAACGCAACAGCUGGCUAGCAAGAGCAUAUCAGAAGCAGAACACGCUCUCCUCUAAAUCUGAGGAAGCAAGAGCAAAGCAAACCUGGAGCAAUACUUGCCUCCAGGACACCCCAAUCACAGAAAACACAAACACAGCAUCGGAAUGACAGGGGAAAAAGUGGCGCAGUAAGCCAUUAAUUUAACUCCAGCAAACCAACAAAACAUUCACCAGCAAACCAAUCGGACAACCCACAGCAAAAACUGUAAACAGCAUCAACCCAAAGCCAAAGUGGGAAGCCCACUCCAACAAACCACAGCAGCUAAAGCCAGCCCCAAGGGGCCCUUCAACAGCAGAUUCACAAUCUGCAGUAGACCUGCAAGAGGCUGUCCCUUCAUUUUCAUGGGAAUUACUUGUGAACAUUUUAUGGGACCACUCAAAUCGCAGUCCUGGACUUCACAUCAUAGCGGGCUCUAGCUUACUUUUCCACCACAGGUUUGCUCAUGAACCAGCUAAUUAGUCCUCCCAAUUGUCAUAAUUCGAAGGAGCCAAAUUAUUCAGCGACAUAGACUUAAAAUCUGAAUAUAGCAUGCAUAUGCAAGUGGUUGAUGUUACAUUUUGAGAAUGAAACUUUCAGCAUAAAACUUCAAGUUUUUUAAAAGUAAUCUAAAUUUAAUUAUUAAAUUUAACACGAUAACAAGGCUAUUCUG
rnacentral:lncRNA from 1 species